rnacentral:rRNA from 1 species
AGUAAGUUGUNAUUUAAUUGANGAAUANAAUGAAGAUUUUAUGAGUUAAAUACUGUCUUUAAAAUAUAAAAUAAAAUUAAUAAUUUAGUGAAAANUCUU